AAGGGCCCGGGCCAAGACAUAAGGCUCUAAUAUUAUAUUCCCUCCCAGAUUUUUUUUCUAAAAAAUAAAAAUUUUCUAACUUCUAUUCUUCUCUCAAAAAAUAUUUAUAACUCAAUAACCUCAAAUCUGCUGUAGCUGGGCUUAACCAAAUCAGUGAGAAUGAGAAAAACGGAUUCAUCAACCUCGUCGCUCGCUAUCUCAGGUAUAAUGUGUAUAUAUAUAUAAAUUUUUUUUUUUUUUUGAAUAAAUUACUGCUGUAAACGGUUAAUUGUGAAGCGCAACACGUGGACUGGAGAAGUAGAGUCCAGACGCCUACUGAUGAAGUAGAGCUUCCUUAUAGAAGCCUGGCACCCGCUCUGCUCCGCUCCGCUACUCAUGGGUAAAAGACUAGUAGAAUAAUCCCUUGACAAGAUAAGGUGCUACCCUAAUAAUAAAGUUACUAAUCAUUUUGAGUUAAGGAAGGUGCAUAGUGACCACCUUGGUCCAAGUCUAAAGAUGUUCUUUCCUAAUCCUUUGUCAAGAGUUCAAGGAGAACUUGCAUUGCCAUCAUGGAAAGGAUCCUGCUAGAAAUGGCUCUGAGUUGAAGGCAAGGCAAAGGUACAAAGGAUACAAGUGAUGACUGGGUGAGGUAUGAAGGAUAUUAGGAUCUAGAUCAGAUCUAACAUGUUGUGACAAAACCAGCUUUUGGAUCUUACAAAUCCCCUCCCCCACUUGUAAGCGUGUGCAUACAUGCACAAAGUUAAUAUGAACAGAAAAAUAAUCAAUAUAUUAGUCAAAU